GAUGCUUUAGUUUAAUGAAAAAUGUAAGAUUGCAAUUCUUGAGAUGUAAAACAUACAAGCAUUU
rnacentral:tRNA from 1 species